rnacentral:lncRNA from 1 species
CACUGAACAGGAACUUCACUGUUGUUGCUGCAUUUCAGGGUGUCCAGUGUCUCUGGAACGAUGCUUCCCAAUGCAGAGAUGUUGUAGUAGCGUACGUCUUGGAGCUGGCAAGAGACCAGCGGCAGGAGAAACGCAAAGCCCCGUGCGUUUAGGUCGUCACCGGCACGGAUGUCGGCUCCCACCAGGAUCCCGGAGUAGACAUUGAUCACCGUGGCGCUUCCACCUUGGUAUCCAUGCUGGAAAGUAUUGCCGAGGCUUGUGGUAAACAUGAUAGCACUGGCGCGAUCACCUGGUCGUCCAAAAGCACGAGCCAAGGUAUAAUGCAUACCAAGAAGAGGUGAUAGAGCAAGCUUACCAACGUGAUCCCAUUCGCCAAGCCAGAGGGACAUGGACGUGAUGAGCUCCCCGGGCUGGAAAGUGUAGGUGGACGAGCUUCCAGCGGGGCUGCCAUAGAGGUGGCAUUGAUUGUCCGUCUCACCCGUCUGCCACAACUUGACAGCUUUGGUUCUGUUACCAUAGUCCCACACUUGGAUCUGGCGGAUGACCUUCCCGCUAGUCCAGGCUUCAAGCUGAUAGUCAGUGCCACCCGAGGUGUUUCCCACAACUUGGACGGUGCCAAUGACGGGGCUGGAGAGUGUCAUGAGCAAAAGGAUGAAUGCAAGGGAGUUCUAGGAGAGAUGCUUUGGUGAUGAUGAUCUAGAAUGGACCUAGAUUUAUAUUGUCCUCGACUUGGUGCUUGAGUCAACCAUCGCUGGAUUGUUGAUCGUACUCCAUGUGCGCGUGAUUUUCGAUCUCUGAAUGAAAGAGUUUCUUACGCUGUUGCUGUUCAACGUAAUCUGCAUCGACAACAGGUCCUGAUUAUCACAGAAUAAACAAACACCAAAAAACUACGGUCGUGAUGAACGCGCUGCACUUGAACGUAAAAAAUCUGCCAGCAAGAUGCAACAAGAUUAAAAACAUUUCUCGUUUUAAUCAUGUGAAAUUUUUCUAAGAGGUUUAUAUGUGUUUGUAAACGUCAGGAUGCAGAUUUGAGUCCUCGAGAACUGAUAUUUAGUCCUAAUUAACACAGAAUAAACAAAUCUCGAAAGCAAUCUAGACAGUACAUACAGGUUUCUCUUGGUGAACGCGCUGCAUUACAAAAUUCUGACUACGAGCUGCAUCCUGAUUUUGUUGACGUUAAGAGGUUUAUCAGUGCUCCGCCGUUGGAUCGGGGGCAUCCGACGUACCGUUUAACAUUUGGUUAUGAACAAGAACAAGACAUUGGAGCCUCCAAAAAAUAUAGCGAUUUGUUCAAACGUCAACAAAAUCGAUGUCGUGGUCAAAUCUCCAUCCUGACGUUUACAUUAACACAUAUAAACCUCUUAGAAAACUUAUAGGAAAUAUAAUGUGAUAAUAAGUUCAACCUUUUAAUGUUUUUGUUCCGCUAUGGUUCUUGUGGGAGCGGCGCUCGAGGCUUUGGAUUUCAAGACGCGGCGACCAAGGUACCACUUUGCUCAGAUUUGCGAAGCGAUUGCGUGUUUUUUUUACCACUUCACUUGCUUUGUAAGUUGUAGUUGGCUUGGCUCUUGGGUCAUCCCACUUUGGUAGCUGAUGCUUUAAAGGCAUCGCCGGCGAUAGAGAUCAAACAGUCCAGCACUCCGCGUUUCGUGUGUGUUUUGCAAAAGGAAUUCGCGACCGCUAUUCCAGCGCUUGUGGAUGUAAGAUCGAUUUGGAUACAAGCUUGGUUGCAACUCACUCAUGUUCUUCCCUCUCUCUUUUUGUCUUGCAGUUUGUUGGCACAGAUGAUGCAACAACUUGUGUGGGAGUGCAAAUCCGGACUGUAAGGAUGCUCCAAGUUGGUGUGUUACGCUUCUGAUGGCUUUGCGGAACAAGCAUCGGGCAUUUGGACUUUGCAGGCUGCGUGAAAGAAGGCCUCGUCCAAAUGCUUUCUUCGCUUUUUCCGGACAAGGACACCAUCCUCGAGGUGUUGUUCUUGAUUUUUUUUUCUUUCUAUUUCCCCUGGUUUGUGAGUUGAUUUCUACUGCUUGCCUUCUACACAGGUCCAUAUGGCUGGUGCUUACGAUGACUCCAUCGAGAUGGGGCUCCGAGAAGAUGAGAUGGGACACUCUUGGCCUCUGUGCCUAGAACUUGUCGAGGAGUUGCAAGCUCUGCUUACAAGCUGGAAAUCCGGACGCUUUGCAUUCUCCGGCAUAACACUGUCACAAGCGAUGGGGGUUAUCCUUGUCCUGCUGUGAGAGGCUUCGCGGUGAGCAAAGGUUCCAUAGCUUUUUCGUUCUCUCUCUCUCUUUCUUUUAUCAGUUCUCCUGGUUUCGCAGAUCGAAACAAAAUCUGGACGCUGUUUUCCAGCGAGCUUUUCAGCUGACGCCAGGGGUCCGGACGAAAUCAUUCGAGCACUCUUGAUGCUGGCGGGGCCGGCAACCAGGCUCCGCCUCCCGUAUGACACCGAGUCGGACACUUUCUCGAUCAAACCAUUCCAGUGGUAUCAAGUCUUCUUUCACCACGGUUUCCAUCUUUUCUUCAUGGUUUCUUUCUACCUUUCCAGGAGCCGAGGAUGGAAAAUGCUCGCAGCGCAGUCGCUAGCUCUGUCUGAUGCCGAGCUACUCCAGACUCGAUCAACGUCUCCACACGCAGAGAGCCCGAGCUUCGUCACCUCCAUCAGAAGGUAGUGCAAGAGCUCCUUUCCUUUACAUGCAUCUUUACCACCUUUCAGGAUGGACACUUAUAUUUACAACCAUCCCGACUGGGAACACGCAUUUCCAAACCGAGAGAGCCGAAGGUUAGUAAGAGAUCCUGGAACUGGGAGAUGGAUGCGAGCGGAAGACCCAAACUCAAGAAGAGUUGCGAGCACAGCCAAAGCUUUAUGGGAGCUCUCGCUUUGAAAACCACAGGCUCUUCGUCACCACAUCCCGAGAGAGAGCUUUGCUACGACAGAUUCUCAAGCGAGGCAAUCCACGAAGAGAGUCUCGCGUUUACUUGCACUGGUAUCUCGUCGUGAGGACAGUGUCCGGCUUGGAGCUUCAUGAGCGUUGCGUCGUUGUAAAGAGCUUGGAUCUUGUCAGCUUUAGAAGACGGGGCCAGUGGAUCCGACUCUCCCCACAGUACUAGCAGUGGACAAUCCAAAUCUCGCAAAAGUUUCUCCAGGGAUAAAUCAGAUGGCUGGAACAAGAAGCGAGAGAUCAUCCUGUUCCAAGAAAAAAAAGCCAUUCUUUUCGUAGUUUUUCAUUUCUUUCCCUUCUACGAACCUGUAAAACACCACUGCUGAGCAGCAAGGAAGGAACCAACAAAAAAAAGCCUGACUUUGACACCAUCAAGCAAACUUGGACUUUACCUCAGAAUCUGUGGCAUUUUUCUUCUUCUCACCCGCCUCAACAAAGGAGCUGGGUGUUGGAAAUGUAAUUAUUGUGGAAAAAUGUAUUGCGGUCCGCUAAAAUGAAUUAAAACGCAUCUUGCUAAAUUUUUUGGGUAUAACAUUGAAGCAUGUAAUGCUUUAAAUGUUCCUCUUCAUGUUCAGAAUCAAACUCGCUAAAUGUUUGUGGAUUAAUAUUAACAUAGUGGGAUUUUAAUAGACAUUAAAUUAGUUUCAAUCUAGACCUUUCAUAUAAUUUAUGCCCUUUUGUCUUUACCUUUUACAACAAAUCUACAGAAUAGGCAUUUUGAUAGAGCAUCUGCUUCUAGAGUUGGCACACAAAGUGCUAGUCAAUCUUAGCCUAUGAGUGCUUUUAUAGGCUAGGGAUCAUUUGUUAGUCGAAAGCGAAUGUAAGAUGGCAACAUUGGAGAAAUGCUUGAUGAUGUAAAAAACAUGAAUUUAGAUGAUGUGAUAUUAAAGUUCAUUUUCUUGAAUGCCAUACUAUUUAAUGUUGUGAAAAGCCUAUAUUUUCGUGCAAUGAUCACAACCACUUGUAAUGCCGGACAUAAUGCUGCAUCGAGGAUUCUUGGUUACAAUAAAGUUUGUAUUACUCAGUUCACUUGUCACUAUACUCUAAUCAAAGAGAAGUUAAUUCCCUUUCAUGAUGGAUGGACUCAAUUUAAAUGUACAAUAGUGACUGAUGGAUGGUUUGAUAUAAAAAAACAGAUCAUUCAUAAAUUUCAUAGUUACCUCUAUCUAUGGCUCAAUAUUUUGGCAGGGUGUUGACACCAAAGGGAAGAAAAGAUUGGUCUUUGGCUUUGGGAGCAAUUUAGACCCAUUAUUUUGGAUGUUGGUAUUGAAAAUGUUCUUCAAGUCAUUAUUGAUAGUAUUUUGAAUUGUGUAUUAAUGGGGGAACAUAUGAGAGAAGAAUUCCCCUUUAUCUUACACAAUCAAUGCAUGUGCUGUGUUUUGGACUUGUUAUUGGAGGAUAUUGGGAAGUUUGAUUGAGUGUCUAAAAUUAUAAAUGACUGUGAGAAGAUCGUGAAGUUCAUAAUUGAGAAGCUAAUAUUACUUGCUUUAUUUUGAAAGUUUUGCUCUAGAGAACUCAUGAAGCCUGCAAACACUUGAUUCGCUUACAUCUUUUUUAUAGUCAGCUAGCUCCAACAUGAAAAUGUUUUGCCAUGCUUUCGACGAUUCAAAGUGAGUGUAGAAUUUGAAUUGUCGAAAUGGUAUAACACAAAGGAUGCUAAGAAUGUUCGUACAACAACUUUCAAUGAUGAAUUUUAGAAGAACACUUUUACUUUAUUGGUCAUGGUAACUCUUAUUUUGAAGGUGUUAUGUCUUGUAGAUCGUAAGGGUGCAAUAACAAGAUUAAUUUAUGAAGCAAUGUAUUGUAUAAUUAAAGGAUUAGAGCUUAUAGCUCAAAUGGCAAGCUUGAUGCGGAUAAAAUUAAUGCAAUUAAGUGUAUUUUGAUUGAAGAUUAACAUAGACAAAAAGCUCGAUGGUUUAUGAUGCAUAGCUAUAUGCACAAUGCUACACAUGCUUUGAAUCUUUCAUACCUUGAGCAAGACUUAAAUGCUGAGGUAAGAAGCGAUUGAAUAGAUUAUUUAUCACUCUAUUGCUGUAAGGACACUCAAUUGGAAGAAAAGUUAGAUAAGUAAUUCAAUAUGUUUCGACAAGGAAAUGGAAGAGCUAUCAAUUAAGAUUUGCUGAAGAGCAAAGCAAAAAGGAAAUUCCUAGUGUCUUGGUGAGAAUCCUAUGGAUAUGAGAUACAUGAGCUCAGGAAGUUAGCAUUUUGUGUGUUGAGCCAAAGAGUGUGCUCUUUUCCAUGUGAGCAAAAUUGGAAUAGUUGGAACUUGAUCCAAACCAAAUAAUAUAAUCACGUACUUCCAGAGAACUUGAAAAAGUUAGUUUAUGUACAUAAUAACACAAGAGUGGUGGAUCGUAUUGAAAGUGAAGGAAUAAAAUUCUUAAAAGAUCAAUCUCGACACAAUUACAAUCAAACCACAAUGGAUAAAGAUUGUAGAGUGAAUCUCUUAGUAUAGAAGAUUUAGCCGAAGAAAAUUUUCCAAAUGAGGAUGUGAUUGUUAAAGUAGAUGCCAGAGAUGUUAAAGAACUUGCCGAAGAUGUUGAAGAAGAUAAGUAAUAGUUGAUUUGGUUUAAUGCUUUGGUUUUCUUACUUUUAUUAGUGUGGUUUUACUAAAAAUGUUUUUUUUUAAAUAAAAAAAUUUAUGAACUGUUCUGCCGUUUAGCAUUUUUACGGCCGGUCGAUAACCACUGUUAACCAAUCGGUCGGUCAAUCAGUGUUCGGAACAAUUGGGACUAACCUUGCACCCCAGCGUGACAAACAAGCAUAGUGGUCAAAAGCUCAUGCCCAGUCUUUUUCCUCUGCAAAGAUUUAUACUGGCCAGCAUUAGAGUGGCCCAGCGCAAUCAGAAAGCCCUGGCCCUAAAAUUUAAAAAAUUUAGGAAUCUUGAGCUGCCACGUGGAUUGGUUCUUUUGGUCAAAUGUUUAAUCUGGACUGGCCGAUAGUGUGGCUUGCUUUUUCUUUUCUCAUGCACUUGAGAGCGCUUCUUCAGUCAUAGUACGUUUGUCAAAGCUCGAUUUAUGUUCUGUUGGCCUGCCGUUGGUUUUUAAGCUCUUUCUUCUUUUCUUCUUGUCUUGCUCUGCUUUUCUCGGUUUUGGGACUUUGCUUUUGAUAGCGCCACCUCGACUUAUUCUCCCGAGGAAAAGUAUUCCCGAGAACUAGCUGACAAGUUCUCAUCUCGAAGAAUAAAAGGUAAAACCAUCGUAAGAGCCAUGGCUGAAAUCACACUGCGUUUGUAUCUUUCCUGACAGAGGGCAGAGCUCGUUCGAAAAAUCAAAACAGGAAAGAAAUUUGUGUAAGCUCUUCACUUGAUUUCCUUUUGACUUGUCUCACAAAUUUCAUAUUGUUUAUUGAGACAAGACCUGUGGUCCCGGAAAUCUUACCUUUUCGUGUUGUAGCACUUGUAUUUCUGGACCUGGAAGCUUUGGAUGCUCAAGACGUACCACUUUACCGUUUCGCGCUCUUCUCUCUUCCUUGACUUGCUGCUCUUGUUUUGCAGCCGGAAACUCGGGAUAGAGAUGAAUCGUGCAAGUGUAUUUUUCUUCAAUCCGUCCUCUGAGGUCGAGUUUCUUACGUUCUUUUGUGUACGUGAUUUCUAGUUGGUGAUCUUAACGUUGGUUGUGGUGAUGAUUCAGCUUUUGAUCGAUCAAAGCGUGUUUUCAAUUGUCACAGUCUCCACGCUAAGGAGCCGAAAGUUACGAACGAUUUGUGCAGCUAUGGUGGAGAGCCAAAUACCAAAGUUUCGUUGGAGUUUUCUUUGCAAUAAGCACAGGCUCGCAAGGUUCUAGUUGAAUUUUUUUUAUUUUUUUUGGUCUGGCUGCAACAAUCAUUGAUCGAUUCCAAGCUUAGUAUCAUACAUUUGCUUCUUAUAAUUGCUCCUAUGCCUUAUACACCAAAUCAAGUUGCUGGAAAGCAGGAAUCCUGUUUUUUGCUUCCACGUAAGUUCGUCUCUGAUUGCUUCUGCCUUUCCAGAGAAUUCUAUCUUGCUGGAAAACAUUCCACAAACACUUUCAAAAGCAAGACUCGAGCUUCUUUCAUUACAAUAUUGCUAUUAUCUGAAUCAUCCGCCGGUAACGUCAGUCUCAGCGACCGAAACACCAGUGUACGUACCAGUCUGGGGGAAACUAAAGCUUUCGCCUGUGUCAAGCUUGACAACCAUGACACCCGAGUAUGGCACGUUGAUCUUACCAGAGUAAGUUACUGCCUGGAUGUUAACUGACGCCCCCGGUGCCAGCGUAUUUUCCUCGGAUCACUCGAGGUUUUUGGUGCCGGAAUACUCAACCGUGUUGGUGGACUGCUCGCUCUCUUGCCACUGAUAAGAGCUCUCGGUCUUGAAAAUGUCGAGGAUGCUGGCAUUCACAGUGACGGUCUGGGAAGUGGUGAGGCCUUCGGCCUGAGACCACGAGUAGGAGAUGGUCAUAUCUUUACUUCCAUCAAGCUUCUACUGAACAGGAACUUCACUGUUGUUGCUGCAUUUCAAGGUGUCCAGUGUCUCUGGAACGAUGCUUCCCAAUGCAGAGAUGUUGUAGUAGCGUACGUCUUGGAGCUGGCAAGAGAUCAGCGGCAGGAGAAACGCAAAGCCCCAUGCGUUUAGGUCGUCACCGGCACGGAUGUCGGCUCCCACCAGGAUCCCGGAGUAGACAUUGAUCACCGUGGCGCUUCCACCUUGGUAUCCAUGCUGGAAAGUAUUGCCGAGGCUUGUGGUAAACAUGAUAGCACCGGCGCGAUCACCUGGUCGUCCAAAAGCACGAGCCAAGGUAUAAUGCAUACCAAGAAGAGGUGAUAGAGCAAGCUUACCAACGUGAUCCCAUUCGCCAAGCCAGAGGGACAUGGACGUGAUGAGCUCCCCGGGCUGGAAAGUGUAGGUGUACGAGCUUCCAGCGGGGCUGCCAUAGAGGUGGCCUUGAUUGUCCGUCUCACCCGUCUGCCACAACU